CGGCUGGGUCUGACCACAUUUCUGCAGCAACAGUGACAACUGAAGUAGAUGUUCGUCCACGCGCCGAGGAUACGCCUGGGCAGCGGGGAAAGAGGGAGACGAAGCAGGGCCGGUAACUAGGGCGGGGUGGCCAGGCCCGGGAAUCCGAGAAGAGGGCAGACUGGUGGGGGACGCAGCCCCACCGUCCCGCGGGAGCCUCUGCCCGGGAGAGAGGACGCCAGGAGCAGCCGGGAGCGGGGCCACGGCGGCGGAGGAAGAGGCAGCCCGGGUGGCCGUGCCCUGAUGAGGCCAUCUCUUCCUCUGCAGAGCUGGAGCCCUGCCUGGUGGCUGGGUGUGCAGGACCAGCUCCACUAAACCCAGACCCUUCUGCUCCGGCAUAGAAGACUGCAAAGAUUAGGCCCAACUUUCUUCACGUAGCAGCAGUAAGAGGAAACCUGUCACGAGUAACA
rnacentral:lncRNA from 1 species